AAGCCUGAUCCAGCCAUACCGCGUGGGUGAAGAAGGCCUUCGGGUUGUAAAGCCCUUUUGUUGGGAAAGAAAAGCAUUCGGUUAAUACCCGAUUGUUCUGACGGUACCCAAAGAAUAAGCACCGGCUAACUUCGUGCCAGCAGCCGCGGUAAUACGUAGGUGGCAAGCGUUAUCCGGAUUUACUGGGUGUAAAGGGCGUGUAGGCGGGACUGUAAGUCAGGCGUGAAAAUUAUGGGCUCAACCCAUAACCUGCGUUUGAAACUAUAGUUCUUGAGUGUCGGAGAGGCAAUCGGAAUUCCGUGUGUAGCGGUGAAAUGCGUAGAUAUACGGAGGAACACCAGUGGCGAAGGCGGAUUGCUGGACGAUAACUGACGCUGAGGCGCGAAAGCGUGGGGAGCAAACA
rnacentral:rRNA from 1 species